AUUUUUGGAACUAGGAGUUGGAAU
rnacentral:piRNA from 3 species